UUCAUAUCUACACAUUGCAAAAUUUCAACAUUUUUUACUCAGGAAAAUUACACUUACAGAAAUGUUAUUUUAUUAACCAAGUAUUUAAAGCAAAGCAAAGCAAAAUUAUUUAUUUACACUACACAAAACUGCGCCGUGACCCCUAAAUGUAGUUCUGGAAACAUUUUGUACCGCCGGAAAUAGUAUUUCACAUGGACAUUCCUCGAAGACGGCGGCAAAGUCGGGUCACUGACAAACUUUGCUAUAACUGACAGAGAAGUGCCUAAGCCAGCCACGACGUGGGGGUGCCAAGUGACCGCUGUCUUCCGAGCUCAAGUCAAGAUUUUCUCGGCGACGGCUUUCGAAGAACGAUCCACCUACUUUUCCACUGUGAAAGAUGAAACAAAACAAAAAAAAA